CCAAUAGCGUAUAUUAAAGUUGCUGCAGUUAAAAAGCUCGUAGUUGAAUUUCGGGACCAAUAUGUCGGUCGUGCCUCGGUACGUACUGGCAUCGUUGGUUUCUCCCUUCUGAUGAACCAUGAUGUCAUUUAUUUGGUGUCGUGGGGAAUCAGGACUGUUACUUUGAAAAAAUUAGAGUGUUUAAAGCAGGCUCACGCUUGAAUACAUUAGCAUGGAAUAAUGAAAUAGGACGUUUGAUUCUAUUUUGUUGGUUUCUAGGAUCGACGUAAUGAUUAAUAGGGAUAGUUGGGGGCAUUAGUAUUCAAUUGUCAGAGGUGAAAUUCUUGGAUUUAUUGAAGACUAACUACUGCGAAAGCAUUUGCCAAGGAUGUUUUCAUUAAUCAAGAACGAAAGUUAGGGGAUCGAAGACGAUCAGAUACCGUCGUAGUCCUAACCAUAAACUAUGCCGACUAGGGAUCGGAUGAUGUUAAUUUUUUAAUAACUCAUUCGGCGCCUUACG
rnacentral:rRNA from 1 species